rnacentral:rRNA from 1 species
AUUGAACGCUGGCGGAGUGCUUUACACAUGCAAGUCGAACGGCAGCACGGGGGCAACCCUGGUGGCGAGUGGCGAAAGGGUGCGGAAUACAUCGGAACGUGCCCAGUCGUGGGGGACAGCCCGGAGAAAGCCGGAUUAAUACCGCAUACGACCUGACGGUGAAAGGGGGGGACGGCACGGCCUCGCGCCAUUGGAGCGGCCGAUGUCAGAUGAGCUAGUUGGUGGGCUAAAGGCCCACCAAGGCGACGAUCUGUAGCUGGUCUGAGAGGAUGACCAGCCACACUGGGACUGAGACACGGCCCAGACUCCUACGGGAGGCAGCAGUGGGGAAUUUUGGACAAUGGGCGCAAGCCUGAUCCAGCCAUGCCGCGUGCGGGAAGAAGGCCUUCGGGUUGUAAACCGCUUUUGUCAGGGAAGAAACGCUUCGAGCUAAUACCUUGGAGUAAUGACGGUACCUGAAGAAUAAGCACCGGCUAACUACGUGCCAGCAGCCGCAGUAA